CCCUUAGAUGUUCUGGGCUGCACGCGCGCUACACUGAAGCGUUCAACGAGUAUUCACCUUGCCCGGGAGGGUUGGGUAAUCUUUUCAAAACGCUUCGUGAUGGGGAUAGAUUAUUGCAAUUAUUAAUCUUCAACGAGGAAUUCCUAGUAAGCGCGAGUCAUCAGCUCGUGCUGAUUACGUCCCUGCCCUUUGUACACACCGCCCGUCGCUCCUACCGUUUGAGUGAUCCGGUGAAUAAUUCGGACUGCAGCAGGCCUGGUCUCCGGGUUUUGCAGCGGAAAGUUUAGUGAACCUUAUCACUUAGAGGAAGGAGAAGUCGUAACA
rnacentral:rRNA from 1 species